GUGGGACAGAUGUGGUACAUAGUGAAGACAUUAAGUUGAAAAUAUUUUUGUACAUUUCUGUGUGAUUAGCAGUUAAAACAAAGUGCUGGUCUAAAGUAACCUUUGCAUUUGCAAAGUGCUGUUUAAAUACGUUUUUUACCAGCCCCUAUAUUUAUUCCGAAGGUAAACGGGUUUAACGUUAGUCAUCCUGCUAUGAGUCUGGCGUAUUAACCACUGGAGACUGAGAGCAUGAUUGUGCAUGCGGUGCCUCUGCAUCCCUGUUGAGUGACUGGAUCCCUGAUUGUGAGGCCGAAUUAAAUUCCUUCUGAAUAGGGGGAUUAUUUCAACCCUGUAGGGGAGCUUUACUCUGGGAUAAACACUUGCAGGUAAACACACAGCCUUGUUCACACCAAUUCACAUACAUUUUCCAUUACUCAGUCCUCUUCAGCCUACAUCAGACAUCUUUGAAUCCGUAACACAAUAGGCGAUGCCUAAAGAAACAGCAACUGUAUUCAAAUAGUCCUUCAUUCAGAGGAGUAUCGCAUGUUUCUCCAGGAACUCUUGUGAAGCAGGCCCACACUCACAAGAGAGACUGUUAAUCUGAACCAGCGCUCUUAUUUGUGCAAAGCUACUGAAGCUCAGCACUUUGAAGAAGGAGAGUUGAAAAGACGAGAGUGCUUUGGCAAUUUGCUUUCUUUUAUUCCUCUCUUUUUUGUACCUUCUGUCUGUAUGGAAGAGAAAGCAGGUAAAUGAAGAGGACACCUGCUCAUGUGCCCCUUUCCUGUUUCACAGCUAUGCUUUCAUCCACUGUCCUCAUCUUUAGACGGUGUGGCAGGCUUUCUUCGCCAUUCAUUUGUUUGCCUGUUGAUGCAGGAUGUUUAACCAAAGAGGAAAAGUAGAAGUGAGUAGCAGCCUCACAAGGACGGUGGAGAUUUCAGAAGAACAAGGGCCUCUAGGAAUACACGUGGUGCUGUACUGUUCCUCUCUCAGCGGAAGGUUAGUGCAGCACUCCACAUUUUCACUUUCUCUUCUCUUCAUACGCAAACACAUACUUUCUGUUGAUGCAUGUCUUACUUAAAGCACAGUGACAUGCGCCAGAGAAAUCUAAGCUCCACCGCACACAUUCAGAGCUUUGUUUGUGUCUGCAUGGUUUUUUGUUGUGGGGAAUUAUGGGAAUGUUCUGUGCUUCUCUCAGGCUUUUGACGUCAUGAAUCAGAAGUGGGGUGUUUGUAGCUUUUAGUAAAUGUAUUUUAAGCUUUUGAACUAUCUAUAUGCUAGUGUACUACUUAAGGUUGACAAAAUAAUGCUGAAUUUCAUAAGAAAUUAAACAGAAUUUAAAAACUUUCUUUUUUGGGAAAACUGACCAAGAAUAUUGAUGACUUGAUGACUCUUUUUGCAUGAAAGUUUUUUUUUUUUUUUUUUUUUAUUUAUUUAUUUUUUCUGAUCAUUAUUCAUGGAGUCUUUAAAUCAUUCAAUACAUUAUGUAUUUAAUUCUUCCAAGCAAAUGAGGACUCAUAUUACUUUUCUAUUUUUUUAUUAUUUUGAAUUCCCAAUCCAGAACAGAAGAUUUGUGAAAAUAAAAAAAUAAAAUAAAAAUUUAUUAUGUAUAUGUGGUUAUUUGCAUUUGUAUGUUCGUUCGUUCGUUCGUUCAAAAAAAUUUCAUUUAAAUUGUAUUGUUUAUAAAUCUAGAUCAGGGGUGUCAAACUUAAUUUCUGGAGCCUCGGAGGCCCGGAGGCCCAACGCUAUCUCACGACCAAUUCGUACGUAUUUUACGAGGUGGCUUAUUCAUACGUAUUUGUAUGACCUCACUCGUACAAUUUUAUACAAUUUGUAAACCCCAGUGAUGGUUAGGUUUAGGGCUGGGGUUAGGUGUAGGUCAUUCAUACAAAUUCAUACGAAUUGUGCAACUCGUAAAAUACAUACGAUUUGGCAAAAAUCAUAUGAAUUUGUAUGAGUGUGGUCGUACGAAUUCAUACGAAUAAGCCACCUCGUGAAAAAUGUACGAAUUGGCGUGAGAUCGGGUUGGGAGGCCUGCAGAGUUUUGUUCAAGCAAUGCUCCAACACACAUAGCAUAUAGUUUUCAAAUAAGCCUGGGGGACUUGAUUAGUUGGAUCAGGUGUGUUUAAUAAAGGUUGAAUUUAACGAGUUUGACACUCCUGAUCUAGUUUUUGGUUUUUGUUCACAUUUUAACUUAAAAAUAUAAUUGUAAUUUUCCAGCCUAGAACAA
ensembl:lncRNA